rnacentral:rRNA from 1 species
AGAGUUUGAUCAUGGCUCAGAUUGAACGCUGGCGGCGUGCCUAACACAUGCAAGUCGAGCGGUAACAGGUGUAGCAAUACAUGCUGACGAGCGGCGAACGGGUGAGUAAUGCUUUGGAAUCUUCCCAGUAGUGGGGAAUAACCAGUCGAAAGAUUGGCUAAUACCGCAUACGUCUGUGAAGAGAAAGCGGGGGAUCGUAAGACCUCGCGCUAUUGGAUGAGCCAAAGUCGGAUUAGCUAGUUGGUGGGGUAAUGGCCUACCAAGGCGACAAUCCGUAGCUGGUCUGAGAGGACGACCAGCCACACCGGAACUGAGACACGGUCCGGACUCCUACGGGAGGCAGCAGUGGGGAAUAUUGGACAAUGGGGGAAACCCUGAUCCAGCGACGCCGCGUGUGUGAAGAAGGCCUGCGGGUUGUAAAGCACUUUUAGUGGGGACAAAAAGUCACGGGCUAACACCCUGUGAUCUUGAUUUAACUCACAGAAAAAGCACCGGCUAACUCUGUGCCAGCAGCCGCGGUAAUACAGAGGGUGCGAGCGUUAAUCGGAAUUACUGGGCGUAAAGCGCGCGUAGACGGUUUGGUAAGUCAGAUGUGAAAUCCCCGGGCUCAACCUGGGAACUGCAUUUGAUACUGCCUGGCUAGAGUAUGGAAGAGGGAAGUGGAAUUUCCGGUGUAGCGGUGAAAUGCGUAGAUAUCGGAAGGAACACCAGUGGCGAAAGCGACUUCCUGGUCCAAUACUGACGUUCAUGUGCGAAAGCGUGGGGAGCAAACAGGAUUAGAUACCCUAGUAGUCC